rnacentral:rRNA from 1 species
AUUGAACGCUGGCGGCAUGCCUUACACAUGCAAGUCGAACGGCAGCACGGGUGCUUGCACCUGGUGGCGAGUGGCGAACGGGUGAGUAAUACAUCGGAACAUGUCCUGUAGUGGGGGAUAGCCCGGCGAAAGCCGGAUUAAUACCGCAUACGAUCUACGGAUGAAAGCGGGGGACCUUCGGGCCUCGCGCUAUAGGGUUGGCCGAUGGCUGAUUAGCUAGUUGGUGGGGUAAAGGCCUACCAAGGCGACGAUCAGUAGCUGGUCUGAGAGGACGACCAGCCACACUGGGACUGAGACACGGCCCAGACUCCUACGGGAGGCAGCAGUGGGGAAUUUUGGACAAUGGGCGAAAGCCUGAUCCAGUAAUGCCGCGUGUGUGAAGAAGGCCUUCGGGUUGUAAAGCACUUUUGUCCGGAAAGAAAUCCUUGGCCCUAAUACGGUCGGGGGAUGACGGUACCGGAAGAAUAAGCACCGGCUAACUACGUG